rnacentral:lncRNA from 1 species
GAUCUGCGAGCAGGCAAAGUCUUACAUCAGAGAAAAAGUGUUGGACCAGGGUAAGGGUGGUAAACAGAAAUACCAAGAAGCCAAGGGAAGAAGACACUUCCCAGAUGGAAUAGUGCAUAUACUUAGAUUGUACUAUAACCUGGAAGUUUGGAGGGCCUUCUAAUGGGGAUAAGAAGCCAACAUAAAGUAUGUGUGUUUCUGUAUGAUAGAGGUGUGCACAUAUGUAUGUGUCUUAGGGUCUUAGUGCUGUGAAGAAACACCAAGGAAAACAUUCAAUUGGAAACGACUCACAGUUUCAGAGGACUAGUUCAUUAUCAUCGUGGUGGGAAACAUGGCAGUGUGCAGACAGACUUGGUGCUGGAGGAGCCAAGAGUUCUACAUCUUCCUCCGCAGGCAGCAGAAGGGGACUGAGUUCCACACCGGGAGGGAUGUGAGCAUAUACAUAAGACCUCAGAGCCCACCUUCACAGUGACACACUUCUCAAGGCCACACGUCCUAAGAGUGCCACUCCCCAUGGGCUUAUGGGGGCUAGUUACAUUUAAACUACCACAGUAUGUGUAUAUGUUUCUGGAUAUGGAGUGCUUAUGUGUAGGUGUGUGUGUGCAUGUGUUCAUCUGUUUGGAUAUACGUGGCCGUGUACGCAUGUAUAUAAACGCCAGCAUGUAUAUAAACGCCAGAAGUUAAUGUCAAGCAUUGCCCCCCUCAGCGUAUCUACUUUGUCUUCUGAGACCCUGGGACCUGGAGCUUCUUGAUCAGGCUAAGCAGGCUGGCCAGUGAGCUCCAGGAAUCUGCCCAUCCCCACUGUGUCAGUGCAGGAUUAUAAGCAUACAACACCGUGUUUAUUUUUAACAUACACACUCUGCCAUCUCCCUAGCGCCCCCCUCCCCAGCAUACGUUUUAAAACAUUUAUUUUCCAUUCAAUUCACUUUGGGUGGAAAGCUAUGAUGGGAUUGUACUGAAGACACAGCAAAUCUCAAUCAAAUUGGAAUCUUUGUGAGCGUUCCUGAGAAACGUAAUGUGAAAAGAACAGUGCGGAGGGAGGGAGGGGUACACCUGGAAUGAGCCCCAGCUCCAGCAUCGACUCACUGACAUACCUUGAUCUUUCAAUUCACUUGUACUAAACCAAAGCCAGUCCAAAACUUAAUGGCUUAAAACUGCACUGCUCCUAAUUGCUUGUGCGUCUGUAGGUCAGCAAGGUGGUUUCUCUGGGCUAGGACUUCUUCAUACAUGUAUGGUCAACUGUAGGCUGGAGACAGCAACUCUGCUAAUUCAGGUUGGCCUCUGUUGAUGUCCAGGCCCCAGCUGGACUCAGACUUCACUCUAACACGCAUCUCCUCCUGAAAAGCUAGCCUGGCCUUGGGUAUGUGGCUGUGGUCAGGUUCCCAAAGAGCAGAUGAAAGUGUGUGUGUGGUCCCUUGCAUCCCAGGCUUGGAACCAACCCACCAUCUCCCCUCUUUAUUCCCAGUCCAUGCACACAACAAGGCAAGGAAAGAGAGAAAACAGAGAUUUCCCUUUCAUUGAGAGAAGCUUCUGUCACUUUGCAGAAUGACAGCCAUGUGACCAGAAAGGAAGGAUGGAGAACUCCAGUCAUUCUGCCACCCACAUAUGAGCAAGCUCCUGAGACCUCUGCAGUCCUCGGUGGCUUUGUCUAUAGGAUAGAGACAAUAUUUCCCAUCCCAGAACUGUGAUGACUCAGUGACUCUGCUUCUAACAUGGAGGCUGUCACUCUAGAUCUUUGUCUUAGUUAUGAUUUUAUUGCUGUGAAGGGACCCCAUGACCUCAACGACUCUUAUAAAGGAAAACCCUUAAUUGGGGCUGGCUUACAGUUUAGUCCACUAAAGUCAGAGGUUUAGUCCAUUAUUGUCAUGGGGGAAGCACGGUGGCAUGAAGGCAGACAUGAUGCUGGAGAAGGAGCUGAGAGUCCCACAUCUGGAUCAUCAGGCAGCAGGAAAAGAUAGUAACACAUUGGCCAGGCUUGAGCAUCUGAGACCUCAAAGCCCACCCCUUAGUGACACACUUCCUCCAACAAAGCAACACCCACUCCAACAAGGCCAGGCCUUCUAAUGAUAAUUCCCUAGGCACCUAUGGGAGCCAUUUUUAAUUCAAACCACCAGAGUUCUCUUAUUCAUGUAUUUCUUCUUUUGCUUUUAGAUGAACAUUUUACUCUUAGGACUGGACUCAGUACCGAUACUACCAUCACUUUAUACCGUCUUGAGUACUGCACUCCCCUUACCUGCAUCAACAAGUUCUGGGCAGGACAGGAGGAUUUUCUUCUGCACCUGUUCUUUUAGUCUUUGUCCUCAAGCUCAGCCACAAUCUGUGUGUUUCCGAGAUUGACAUGGGGAAGGAAAUUGCAAUUGCUCAGUGCAGUUAACAAGGCCUCUGUGACUCAUCUUCCUCCCGGGGUACUCUGACUCCACAGUGGGUGGAAUGGCCUGGAGGGAACCUUGUGAGGCCUUCUCUCUGACGUCACUAAUUCUGUGCCUUUCCCUGGGAACACUCCUUCAUCUGUCUCCAUGACUGUAGUUGGGUGCACUGAGGUGCAGUGGUCUCUGGGUCCUGCGUCUCUCUCUCUCUCUCUCUCUCUCUCACACACACACACACACACACACACACACACACACACACACCACCUUCUGAGGAGAGGUCAUUCUUUGCUCUUCCUUCAGGUCAGCAGUGACUUUGGGUAGAGACACCCCUGGAGACUAGACAGCACUAGUGCCUUGGUAAGCCCCACUCCCUCUCCACACAUUUUAGUCCUGAUUAGUGGAGAAAUUUACAGUUUGUUUUCACACCUUCUCUCUGUGACUUGCCAGCUUCCAUUUAUAGCAGAGUCUCCAAAAUUUUCUCUAUGAGGAGAGUAUCAGCCAGACGUCAAUGAUCCUGCAGUUUUUCAUAGUUUUUGUUUCCACAGUUUUCCUCGGGGCCCUGAUACUAGCUUCACACUUUCUUACGGUACUAUAUGUUUCCUUCUGAACCACACUGGGAAAAAAUGUUCAGAGCAGAAGACCCAGUUGUAGUGUACUCAAGUAGGGUGCACAUAGCCCUGGGUCCAGUCCCCAGCACCACAUAAACCGGGCAAGGUGGCCUACACCUGCAAUCCCAGCACUUAGGAAGUGGAGACGGGAGGAUCUGAAGUCCAAGCUUGGCUACAUAUUGAGUUCAAGGCCAGCAUGGCCUGCCUAAGACCCUGUCUCAGAAACAACAGUAGACAGCUGGGCUUGGUGCCUCCUGCCCUUGGGAGGUUGCGGCAGGAGGACCAUGAGUUUAAGACUAGCCUGGACCACACAGAGAGAACCCAUCUCUGAGUAAACGACCAGUAAAUAGUUACCUCCCUCCCAUUAGAUUUCUCAGCAGUUUGAUGAGCCGGCCCUUGUCUGCCGCAGGAAACAUCCAUUUCUCCCCUGUCUGGUACCCCAGCGUCUCACUAAAGUGCCGUUAGGUUCAGACAUUCUGCUGUCCUCUGUGGGGAAGGACUGGUUACCAGUGACUCAUAGUCAUGCUCUGCCAGAGAGUGCCAUUCUCCACAGUGGCAGCUGAGGAGGUGGUGGAGUGCUGGAUGUAGUUGUGGGGUAAUAGGAGCAGCCCCAGUCCCAGUGCAGCUCAGGGGCAGAGCCGAGGCAAGAGUACUGAGGAUACUGAGCCCCUAACGGAGGCCCAGUAUUAGGUUUCAACCCCCUUAGCCCCUGAGUGCAUUCAGUUCUCACCAUGACCGUGAGGAGGCAGAUGCUGUUUUCUAGCGUCUACAUUUUACAGAUGAUGACGUUGAGUCUUAAUGAGGGAACGAGAAAGCCAGUGCUUCCCAGGUGGAAGUUUUCAGGGCUGGGGCACAAGGUUCGCCCUGACUGCCAGGACCACAGUAUCCCGGACUAUUCCUCCCACAGGGGUCUCCUGAGUGUAGAGAGAAGGGAAUACUGCUAUACUGCUUCAGCAGCCUGUGUGUACCUGAAGGGGAUUCUGGUACAGUGGUCUCUGGGUCCUGCGUCUCUCUCUCUCUUGAGGCAGCUUGAAUAUUUAAAUGAUGUUUCAGCCAUGUACAAAUCUGCUUCUCUGCCAUCUAUCUGCAUUCCCCAGAAAUAUAAUAAAAUUCCCGUCUCUGCUCCAUCUCCAAACACCAGCCCCCAGCCCCACCAGUGACAUCUGAAGUCCUGUACACUGAAGAAACAAGAUUCAGAUGGAAAAGUGCUGGCACAAGGUUGAGCAGGGUUCUCUAAUAAAGACACCGUGCAUCACACAUCAGCUGCUGCUGUUACUAUGGUGACAGCCACAAUUUCUCCCAGACAGCUUGGGUCUGCAGGGAGGGUGGACCCUGGGGGAACAAGUGUAUUUCUCCAACCUGUCAGACCCUGUCACCUUUCCUGUUUCCCUCACCUCUCCCACCCCCACCAGCCCCCACACUUCCUUCCAUGGGCUGACAGGGGCCCAUGGCACCCCCAGGCCAUCAUAAUUAGCAUCUGGCUGGGAGCCCAGAGUUCUGGCAGCACAUUCCUCACUUCCCUUGCCAGCCAAUCUCCUUUCCCCAGCAUCCCUUCAACAGCACUGCAGCAGCUGUGUGCAGACAGCCUCAGCACCAAGGUCACCGCAGCGCCAGCAAUGACGAAGCAUCCCCUUCCUCCCUGGGUGGCACGGCAUCAGAUGAUGCCUCGAUGUUGUCUGAGCCGUUUGCAAGUUACCACCUUACGGUUCUGGAAAAGGAAGCUACCCUUAGGAGGAUGGGGAAGGCUCAACUCUGAGUUCUUGGGGGGUUUAAGAGAGUUUUUCACCUGGCUGAGAGUCACCAAUUAGGUUUCGGGGGGAGGGGCAAGAUCAAGUUGUAAGAUAUCCGAGAAGGUCGAGGAAGUGAUCAGAAAGUUCAAGCGUCACUAUGCCUUGGAGUUUAAGAGACUAAAGAUGGCGGUGGCAAUCACAGCCAAAGAGAGCUGGUUGUUAUGGUGACAACAGCGAGGACGUUUACGGAAACUGUGUUCCGGGAACCUUACCGAGCACUUUUACAAGCGUUAUGGCGUAGAGUCCUCACACUGACUGCGCAUGUAGAAACUGCAUGGAGCUACUCUGUUCAUUUUCCAGAAGGGAAACAAGGCUGGGGAAAAGUUAGCUCUCCCUCCCUAGCAAGAAAUCAGAUAGGCCCUAGGAACAUGCUCUACACGAAGAUUCCCUUAGAGUCUUCCAAAUCCAGUGUUAUUUACUAAUGAGUACACAAAAUGCAGGAAGAAAAAAAUGUUGAGAGACAUAAACUUGGUUUCCAGUACCAGACUGAAGCCUUACGAGAAGAACUGAAACGGCCAUAAAAGAAACAAGGGAUACUUGAGUUGGAGGAAGAACUCCACAGUGAAAUCGCAUCAGGAAGUCAUUGGGACCUCUCUUUGACUGUGAUCCUGGCGUUGUGCUUAUGUAGGAAAAUAUUAUUUCUAGGUGAUACAGGUCAGACUAUCUAGGGGAGAUAUACAAAGCCUUUAAAUUACUGGUACAUAUGAUGGUGUAUUACAGACCAAUUCAGGCACAUACAUCCUGUAUAGCAAGUUGAGCAAAAUAUUGACAAUGAUUGAAUCUAGGAAGGUUGAAAUGAUGGACCAUGGUGGAGGACUGAUGGGAGCAUGACCAUGAAUCCCAGAAUAACUAGUCUGUAUUCCAGAUAAUAGUAUCAAUAUCAAAAGCUUGGACGUGGAGCCAGUCAGAUGGUCGGACUGCUCAACCUGCUGACUUCCGUCUGUUCCUCAAACUCAUGUAAAGGUGAAAAGAGAAAACUAACUCCACAGCACAGCACCGUCACACCACACACACACACACACACACACACACACACACAAAUAAUAAAAAUAAAUAAAUAAAUACUCAAAGGCCGGAUACCCCUGAAGGGUAAGUUCACCAUCAGAUUAUUAAUUCUAUAUUGUCAUAUCGGCUGUCCGAGCAUUUUUCUCUCAGCUUUCUGCAUGGAUGAAAAUGUUCCUAAAAAAGAAAACGAGUGAGGAAAAGCAGCUAGGAAAAACAGGUUUGGUGGCCAAAGCUCAAGGUCACACAGCUGGUGUCUCAGAAUGAACUCACAGCUCAGCUCUUCCCAGAGAGAGGUCUACACUCACCCAGGGGUGCCUGCUCUGUGUGGAGAGGAGCCUCGGGUUGUAGCAGUAGCAAAAGGGAAGAUGGGGGAGGGGCAAACAGCAAAUUCAUUCAAAGCUCCCCAAAGCCCUGAUAUCAGGGCUUUUAUAAAUGCUCACUUUCCAAUGGAAGACAAUCUCAAGCCUGAUGUUUUGUAAACUUUUUAUUUCCAACUUACGAUUCAAACUUCCUAGGGCACAGUGUUGCUUGGCUACAGAGCACACGCUUAGAGAACCUAAGGCCCUGGGUUUAAUUGCUUGGCACUGAAUAAUAAAAUAAAUAAAUGUAGUAUUAUUCCAGACCUUAGUCUGGAGCUCCUUAGAAAGUGGCCUGGAGAGGGACUGAGCACAGAUUUCAGAUGAAAGUGGGGUGUCCCUCCCCCACUACUGCAACUGAAUUACGCAGAAACGCAAAGUCCUCAAAGUAUUGAUUGAAAAGGAUGAUGAGACUUCAUAAACCAACCCUGGCAAGCGUUUUUUAUUCUCUUAAAAUACCCACCCCACCCUGCACGCAUACAGUCACUGUACUCUUAGAUCCGCACAAGCAUGUGAAAACAGUUUCCUCAUGCAGGGCCACAAGGAUGCUAAUGGAAGGGAAGCUAACACAACCCAAUUUCUUCUACUGAUACUACCUACUCCAUGCAGUUUUCUGAGUCUCCCAAGAGGAAAAAGGAAGCAAAGAAUCAGCAAGUCUGCAGGUAGACACACAAGGACACGCCCAGAAACACGUGGGAACACACACACACACACAUGAUUUAUUAGAAUGGGCAGAAGUGUACAGAGAGAUGGUUUUGCAUCCAAGAAACAUCACUUUUCAGCAGAGGUCAUCACAAAAAGCCACCAAUGUUCAAGAUACAGAGAGCAACUGAGCCAGGGGUGCCAACCCCAGAGGAUACAUCUGCAGUACAGCCUCUUCCCCUGAGGCCCAGGGAACAUCUCAGAAGAAGAGGCAGAAAGAUAGAGUCGAGGACCAUGAAGGCUGUAGUUGGAUUGUGUCUAUUAGAAAUGACGGAGUUGGGCUGGUGAGAUGGCUCAGCAGAUAAGAGCACUGACUGUUCUUCCAAAGGUCAUGAGUUCAAAUCCCAGCAACCACAUGGUGGCUCACAACCAUCUGUAAUGAGAUCUGACACCCUUUUUUGGAGUGUCUGAAGUCAGCUACAGUGUACUUACAUAUUAGUAAAUAAAUAAAUAAGAAAAUUACCCAUUCUUAAAAAAAAGAAAAGAAAAGAAAUGACGGGUUCUCAGUCGAGACACCACAACACUAUGGCUGCCUAAGCAAGACCUGAGCACUGAGAAAAAUACUAGACAUGCUAAAGUAGAAGGGAGCCAAAGAGGCCCAGGAGCUAAUGACUGAGAGGGGAAUUGGUCCUCCUCAGAGGCAAAUCCCCUCAUUGUUUAUCCAAUACCAUGUGGUCAGCCCUGAAAUCACAUACAGAGAAGCAAUACUAAACAGAUUCAACAGGUUGUAUUUAUAUAUUCAUGCACGUGUAACAAUAAUAAAGAAAGAGAAAGUAAGAGGGGAGGGGGAGAUGGGAAGGAGGAAAGAGAAGGGGCCCAGGAUAGAAUUAUGUUUUAAUUAAAAAUUUAAAAUUACUAAGAAAACCAGGUGGAUUCAGCCUCUGCUUUUCAUAUAAACCAGGGAGGAAGAGGAGGAGGGAGAACGGGGGGGGGGUCCGUUCGGGUUCUGUACAUGAAGUCUGGGAACUCGCACCAUCUGCUGCCUGAGCUCUGGGGGCCUCUGCUUCACCGUCCACUGGACAUUGUGUUACUUCCUGUCCCAGAGCUCAGGACGACAGGCCACCCUCAGCUUUUCUCGCCUGAUCACCUGGCCUAAUGGAACUGUGCAUUAGGAGCAAAUCAAAUAGGAGAGGCUGGCAGCCGUUCAGACAUUAGAUGCUUCCGGGAAGGACAUUUCAUUUAGAUAAUGUCUCCCAACUCGGGCAUGUGUCCACAGGAUGUGAACACUCAACAGUGGUCUGCGCUCCUCUCUCCAUCCUUGGCUCUCAGUGGUUCAUCUUCCCACUCCCCUCUCUGCAGGCAGUGACCUCCUUUUUGUACCAGUGGAGACACACCGGGUGCCUGAGGGCUUUUUUUUUAAUGUACUCAGUCAUUAUUUUCUCUACCAGAUCCCUUCACAGAAUCCAUGACACCCUUCCAGAUGCUGCGUCCCCCUUGGUCUUCUUUUUCGUCUCUUGUCUCUUUCCCAUCCCUUAUAGAUUCCUAGUUUCUACACUCUGCAAGCCUUCUUUUCUUUCUGCAUUCACUGGGAUGGCUUUAAAACUGACCGUCGCAUCACUGCCUUCUUACUGUGAGGUGACAUCAGUUCCAAGGUCCUCCAUUGUUGUCCACUCAGCUCCUGAAUAUCACCUAGUAGCCCGCUGAUUCUUUAAAUUCUUAUUUCCAUCCUGAGAAUUGAGCCUAGUACCUUGCACAUGCAAUCACUGUAUCACUGAGCUACAACUCCAGACCUUUAAACAAAUGGUUUGUUCAUGCUUUGUUUGUUUAUUGAAACAGGUCUUACCACAUAGCCUUAGAACUCACGAUGUAGACCUGGCUGGACUUGAAUUCACAGAGAUCUGCCUGUCUUUGCUUUCUGAGUGCUCGGAUUAAAGACUAUAUGCCCAGUCCUGAGUUUUGUUUGUUUUGUUGUUUGUUUCUCAGGUUUUUUUUUUCUUGUUUUUGUUUUCUGUUUGGUUAUUUGGUUGGUUGGUUAGUUAGUUCUUUUUAAAGUUAAGGUCUCACUAAGUUGUCCAGGCUGGUCUUAAACUCUCUCUGUAGGUCAGCAUGGUCCUCACACUUCUGAUCCUUUUCCCACUGCCUCCUAAGUAGCUAGGAUGGUGGGCCUGUGCCCAUGUGGAUUCCUUAAAUUCAAUAUAAGCUAUUAGCUUUCACUAGGUCUGUUCUCCUUCCAACUUCCUUUCUGACAUGAAAAGCACUAGGAUCCACCAGCCACCCAACCUUGAGCCUGGGAGUUUGACCCUCAAGUGUUCCCUUGCCGUGACUCACCCAUGUCCUGUCAGUCACAGACUGAGGAGUCUGCCUGUAAGUCACCUGUGAACUAUGAGGCUUUGGUUUUUGUGCUUUUAGCUCUUUCGUGGCCUCGGCUCAUCUCUGCCAUACUGCUGACUUCAAGGGGCCUGAGACUUUUCUGUUCUAUUUACCAUUUUAUUGCUGAUAUAUAAACAUGAUGCCAGGCUGGCGGUCAGGUACUCCACGUGUAUUUGUUGAAUUAAUAAUGCCUUGCCUGUCAGCUCCUGCGUAGGACUGAUGGUGCCUCUUCCAUCGUCCCUUUCACACUCACCGUUCAGGCCUACUUUCUGACUUUGUGCUUAGAGUUGUAUGGAUGGCAGUGUCCUUGACUUUUUCUUUCUUUCUUUUUUCUGAAACAGGGUCUCUCUAAAUAGCCUGGCUGGCCUGGGAGUUGAUUUGUAUACUGGGAUGGUCUCCAACUCACAGAGAUCCACCUGCUUCUGCCUCCUGAGUGUUUGAAUUAAAAGUGUGCUCCACUAUACCUGGAUCAUUGUUCUUUUUUUGAGUCAGAGCCUCACUCUGUAGCUUUGGCUGGCCUGGAACUCGUUAUGUAGAUCAGGCUGGCCUUGAACUCAUAGAGCCCUGCCUGCCUCCUGAGUAUUGGGAUUAAAGUGUGCACCACCACUCCAGGCAUGUCUCUCCCAGUGAUUACUUUCUGUUAUUCAUGCCCUUUAUAAAGUCUCUGCCCCUUGAAUGUAGGAGAGAGUGAACCACUUCCCAUUAACAGAGUCAGCCCAAAUGAGGAGAAUCCGUGUCCCUCCUUGGUGAUAAGAUUCUGCUUUCAUCCUGGCUCUCUUUGAGACAACGCCUCUGUUCAUCUGUAAUGUAUGGAGAGGGCCAUGUGUCAAGGAACAGAGGAAGAGUCUACAGCCAGCAAACUGAAAGGAGGUCUGCCAACGUUUAUGAGUUAGGCUGGAGGAAAAUCUCCUAGAUCCAAGCUAGGAGGUGAGACCACAGGCCUGACACAUACCUGGCCACAACCUUGGGAGAAGAUGGAAUGACACAUGUUUGAUGUCUUAAGCUAUUGAAUUCUGGGGUAACUUGUUAUAUAGCAAUGGAUCACUGUAUAACAAUUGUGUAUCGUAUAAUAUAAUAUACAGUUUAUUGCUAUAAAAGCUAAGCUUUCUGAUACUCCAUGGCAAACUGUGGCACAUGCACACAAUGAAAUACUGGAAGAUAAUUAGAAGACACCACUUCUAUGAAAAGGUCUUCAGGACAGUGGAGUUUGUUUUGUGUUUGGUGCUAGGGAUCGGUCCAGACCUUUACACACAUUACACAUCCUAAGCUCAUGCUAUGCCCUUGCCUUUGUGUAGCUUACUGAAGGUAAAUUUUGAUUCCCAGAACCUGGGGAGAUAAAUGGAUUUUUUUAACUUCCUGUUCUGAAAUCUGUAAUUUUCUUCUAUUAAUGAGAUAGGACAUCUUCUAAUGGUAUGGAUAUGUAAAUACUUAAUUUAUCCCCCCAUCCCUAACUUCCUUGUCUCAGGACAGAUUCUCACUAAGUAGUUUAGACUAGCCUGGAACUCCUUGUAGCUAAGGAUGACCUCAAACUUUUGAUUCUCCCGUCUAGCCCCAUAAAUGUGGGAUUUAAGGUUUGCACAGUUAUCUUUUCAUCUAUCAGUAAUCCAGCUGUUACCAGUAAUCCAGCUGUUACCAGUAAUCCAGCUGUUACCAGUAAUCCAGCUGUUACCAGUAAUCCAGCUGUUACCAGUAAUCCAGCUGUUAGAUGGAAGAUGGGUGAGAAGGAGUCUGUAUUAGACUUGGGUGCAGCUUUUAUCUUUGGAGCUUAGAAAGCUUGCAAGUUACUGAACACUCAAUUUGUGGGGCAAGAGAGAUGGCUCAGUGGAUAAUGGUACAUGCCACCAACCCUAAGGAUUUAAGUUCUAUCCUUAGGACCCACAAGGUAGAAAGAGAGAACAGAUUUCUAAAAGUUGUUCUCCAACCUCUACACUCCUGCCAUGGCAUGAACAUAGACAUACAUACAUACAUACAUACAUACAUACAUACAUACAUAAACAUACAUACAUACAUACAUACAUACAUACAUACAUACAUACUGGGAUGUUGCUUAGCGGUAGAGCAUUUGCUUAGUCAGGGUUAGGACUUUUCUGAGUGACAACCCAGCCCCACUCAGCCCUUAAAAUGGUUCAAUUAAUUUUUUAUUAUAUUUGUUUACUUUAUGUUAUGGGUAUACAAGUAUUUUGCUUGUAUGUAUGUAUAUGUACCAUAUGAGUACUCGAUGGCCAAAAGAGGGUGUUGGAUCCCCUGGAACUGGAGUAACAGAUAGAUGGUUGUGAACCUUGGGUUCUGAACUGGGAACUGAUCCUGGGUCCUCUUCAAGAGCAACAAGUGCCUGUACACACUGACCCAUCUCUCCACGUCCAUGAUUGAAUUAAUUUAACUAGCCAACUACUGUCAGAUACAUACUGUCAUCCCAGUACUCACCGAUAGGAUUAUUAUCCUUGAGAUGAAUCCCUAAAGAUUAAGUUACUGGGUCAAAGGGACCCAGCUGCUGAAAUGUAUUGCCAAAUCCCUGUGUGCUUAGCCUGUGCCAUACUGUGAUUUUUACCCACCAACAUGUGAAAGUACCUCUGUCUAUCUCUAGGGAAUAGGAUAGUGACAUAUUUUGAUGGGGCAUUCAACUGUAGAUGCUGUGGAAAGGAGCUGGGGAGCUCUAGUUUGGGGAAGCUGGGCAGGACCCAUGAGGUCUCCCAGAUGUGCUUGGCUAAUGAGUUUCAGUGGGAAGUGCUUCAGUAAGACCCCAGCAGGACAGAGGAGGCAGCCUUUAAUUUGGUCACAUAAGGAGCACUUCAUGGAAAGAAAUUUUCCAAAGAGAGGAUGAAGUGAAAGAAACCCAAGAGGAUAUGAGGCUAAGAACGUGGGCUCUUGUAGCCAGAUGGGGUUGGAGAAGCCAAGAGGAGCAGUGGCCUCUCUAGCAGACUGAGGUACAGACUAAGAUACAGAAGGCCAUGAGGGUAGCAGAGGCAUCUUUAAUGUAGGUAGAACCCAUAGCUAUGGGGCAUAGAAUAUAUGUCAAACCUGCUCCCCUCCCUCCUAUCCUCCAGGGUUACUAUUUGUCAAAACCAAUAGGAAGCCAUACAGCCCUUUGAACUCAGGACCUCUCAGAUUCCCAAGACAUAGGGCUUAUGAUAUCCACUAAGUGUUCUGUAAAUGUACCACUAAGUUUAAUCCUUCUGAUAAUCCUUACAUGGCAAAGAUAAACGGAAGGCACAGGGAGAUUGAUGAGUUUGACUAAAGUCUCGCUGUGAUUUUGGAGGCCCCAAAGCUCCAUAUUCGUAAGGACCGAGGGGGCGAGCCUAAGGUUGUUGUAUAAUACUAUUCUUGCGGGGGGGGGGGGGCAAGAAAGGAACAUAUGACAAGCUAAAAUAUCAAUUCUACCAAAAACUUGGUGACCAAUGAGUUUUAUUGGCAUUAUUUACAGGAAUAUAGGUGAGGGGUUACUUAAAAGAGCACAAAUGACAGCUGCAUCACCAAGGCACACUGCAA